rnacentral:rRNA from 1 species
UACGGGGGGGGCAAGCGUUGUUCGGAAUUACUGGGCGUAAAGGGCUCGUAGGCGGCCAACUAAGUCCGACGUGAAAUCCCCAGGCUUAACCUGGGAACUGCGUCGGAUACUGGAUGGCUUGAAUUCGGGAGAGGGAUGCAGAAUUCCAGGUGUAGCGGUGAAAUGCGUAGAUAUCAGGAAGAACACCCGUGGCGAAAGCGGCUCUCUGGGACGGUACUGACGCUGAGACGCGAAGGCGUGGGGAGCGAACAGG